AUUGAACGCUGGCGGCAUGCCUUACACAUGCAAGUCGAACGGCAGCACGGGAGCAAUCCUGGUGGCGAGUGGCGAACGGGUGAGUAAUAUAUCGGAACGUGCCCGGUCGUGGGGGAUAACGUAGCGAAAGCUACGCUAAUACCGCAUACGAUCUACGGAUGAAAGCGGGGGAUCGCAAGACCUCGCGCGAUUGGAGCGGCCGAUAUCAGAUUAGGUAGUUGGUGAGGUAAAGGCUCACCAAGCCGACGAUCUGUAGCUGGUCUGAGAGGACGACCAGCCACACUGGGACUGAGACACGGCCCAGACUCCUACGGGAGGCAGCAGUGGGAAUUUGGACAAUGGGCGCAAGCCCGAUCCAGCAAUGCCGCGUGCAGGAUGAAGGCCUUCGGGUUGUAAACUGCUUUUGUACGGAACGAAACGGUGAGCUCUAAUACAGUUUGCUAAUGACGGUACCGUAAGAAUAAGCACCGGCUAACUACGUG
rnacentral:rRNA from 1 species